UUCCGGUUGAUCCUGCCGGAGGCCAUUGCUAUCGGAGUCCGAUUUAGCCAUGCUAGUCGAGCGAGGUCAGCCCUCGCGGCGAACAGCUCAGUAACACGUGGCCAAGCUACCCUGCAGAGGGGGACAGCGUCGGGAAACUGACGGGAAUCCUCCAUACCGGUCUCACGCUGGAAUGCCGAGACCGACAAACGCUCCGGCGCUGCAGGAUGCGGCUGCGGCCGAUUAGGUAGUCGGUGGGGUAACGGCCCACCGAGCCGAUAAUUGGUACGGGGUGUGAGAGCACGAGCCCGGAGACGGAAUCUGAGACAAGAUUCCGGGCCCUACGGGGCGCAGCAGGCGCGAAACCUUUACACUGCACGAACGUGCGAUAAGGGGACUCCGAGUGCGAGGGCAUACAGUCCUCGCUAUUGUGUACCGUAGGGUGGUACACGACCAAGAGCUGGGCAAGACCGGUGCCAGCCGCCGCGGUAAUACCGGCAGCUCAAGUGAUGGCCGAUUUUAUUGGGCCUAAAGCGUCCGUAGCUGGCCCUGCAAGUCCGUCGGGAAAUCCACUCGCCUAACGAGUGGGCGUCCGGCGGAAACUACAGGGCUUGGGACCGGAAGACUUGAGGGGUACGUCUGGGGUAGGAGUGAAAUCCUGUAAUCCUGGACGGACCGCCGAUAGCGAAAGCACCUCAAGACGACGGAUCCGACAGUGAGGGACGAAAGCUAGGGUCUCGAACCGGAUUAGAUACCCGGGUAGUCCUAGCUGUAAACGAUGUUCGCUAGAUGUGGCACAGGCUACGUGCC
rnacentral:rRNA from 1 species